AAUGAUACAACUAUGAACAGGACAGAUGUGGCCUUGCUCUCAUGGAACACACAAUAAAGCCACAAUGAGAUACCAACAUACAUCCACAAAAAUGGCUAAAAAUAAAAACUGACAAACAUUGGUGACAAUGUGGAGAAACAAACACAAAUAGAAAUGCAUAUACAUAUGCAUCAAGCACAUACACAAAAAGGUUUAUAGCAUUACUUGUGAGGCCCCAAACUGGAAACAACCCAAGUAUCAGCAGUUAAGUGGAGAUAUAAAUGUCAAUAAAUUUCUACAAUGGAAAACUAUACAGCAAUAAAAAUAAAUGAAUUACUGCUACCCAGAACAGAAUGACAAUCUCACAAAAACAAUGUUGCAGGCAAAGAAUAUACAGGCAUACCUUGGAGAUAAUGUGGAGACUGUUCCAGACCACUGCAAUAAAAAUGUGGCAGAAGUGAUGUUCUGUGACUUCCAAAGCCAGAUCUUAAGAGACAUUGAAGAUUCUGCUUUUACCCUUUUAUGAUGCUGCCCUGAGACCAUCAUGUAAGGAAGCCAGUGUCGCCUGCUAGAGAAUAACGGUCACAUGGGAAAGAACCAAAGCUCCCAAUGGACAGCACCAACUGUCAGACAUGUAAGUGAGGCCACACUGACCUUCCAGCCCAACUGUCUUUCAGCUGAAUGUUUCUGUACCAGUGAGCCCAGGUAAAACCAGCAGAUAAACUGUCAACCCACCCAGAGAAUCAUUUAAAGAUAAUAAUAUAUCAUUGCUGCUUUAAGCUACUAAGUUUUGGCGUUGUUUAUUAUGCCACAAUAGAUAACUGAUAGUAUUAUCUUCUCUGUCUUUAACUUUCUCAACUUGCUGAUCCCCUGACCCUCCAUUGUCUAAUUCAGAAAAUACAAUUUAUUUUAUAUU